UUGCUCUCCUCACCUGAUCCUGCCUCGACACUCAGCAUUGUGGACGGCAGCGCAGAGUCUUCCUCGCGCCCGCCGUGAAGGAAUGAUUGACAGGUAGCGCGGCGGUUUAUCACCGCCUCAUGUGGACAGAGAACAGACGCUCAGUAAAACGGGACUCACAUCAAUGCCGUUUUCCGCUUAUCUCUCCACUGCCACAGUGACGGAAUUCUGUCACAAAACCAGACCACCUACAGUUUUCCAUUUCUACAGCAUUCAAGCCGAGGCAUUCAACUUGAUCAAAGACAGAGAACAAUGCUGAAAAGAAUCAUGACAUAACUGCUAGCUGGACUGAGUAACCGUUUGCAUGUGGACUGAACUGGAAAAUGAGAAGAUAUGUUAUUGUAAGUCUGGUUUUAAUUUAUCUACAAGAGGUAAUUCAAAGUAGUCUGGUUUAGCCAAGCCACACCGUUGUGGUUCUCGAUUUCUUAUGAAACAUCUUGAGUUUGAACCCAAUAUUAACCUCAACCGAUUUGCCAGAAUGAACAGAGAGACCUUCGGGAUAAACAACAAACAUGAGGAUGGGGUGUGUUGUAUCUAAAAACAAUCAUUAUCUCUAAAGCAGCCAGUAUAACCUAAAUUUAACACAGCACUAUUGUGCACUACUACAGUAAGUCUUGAGGGCCAAAUAAAGACCAAUAGAUCGGUGUCUGUGCUUAUGUACAUUUUAUCACCAAGUAACACGUCUAGAAACAUUCAUUCAUUUUCUUUUCAGCUUAGUCCCUUUAUUAAUCUGGGGUCACCACAGUGGA